ensembl:lncRNA
CACUUUAGUACAAGACAAACACUCCUGGUUACUCUGAGGAAAUGUCAUUACAUGAUGAAUAUAUUUACCAUGUUAGUCAGGGAAACUCGUUUGUGGUGUGUCUCUUUUUGUUUCUCCUUUUCAUCAGAUUCUUAAAAACAAAAGGCAGGAAAGCAACAAUAAAAGUUAAAACCUCAAGAAGUUUUCUAACAUUUUGGGACAUCAUUUUAGAGACAACCUUGAACAUUACUUAUUACUUACCACUGUGUUGGUUCUUGCUGAUGUGUGAGAUGCAGCAGAGAAUAAUUUAUCCUUGCCACUGUCUUCAUGGAUCCUUAGUUCAUUUGCAUAGAUUAUAUAAUAAAGUCAUUUUGUAAUCCUAAUAGUAAUAUCAAAAACACAGGCCAGCAACAAGAAAUAAAGAAAAGUGCAAGAGGCACUGAAAACACUGACCUGUGUAUCUCAACAAUAACAAAGAACUAUAUACAUAUGUACAAAAGUUUGGAGAAAAUAAGUUCUCCAGGAAAGGCUUCGAUCUUGAUUAGAGUCUGAAGCGCUUCCUUGGUGGAGCGGGGCUCCUGCUGCUGCUUUUCUCCUCUGUCGCCUUUCUUUUUGCACGCUGUGCAAACAUCCUCCGGAAGCGGCAGAGCACUGACAUGAUGACGUUGCCCUCUGAGCUGUAGUCAGUGACCCUCCAGAUGUUUGUCAUCUCAGUGUCACAGUCUUCUGUGCGAUACACAGCAGAUAUGACUCUGUUGACAGUGAGGCCGUUGACCUCCAGGGUGCGGACACAGUUCCUCCGGUCUGCCUUCAGCACAAAAAUAUUCGCCUUGUCAGGAAGGACCGGAGUCAGGAUCUGAGAUGUCAGGCGGGACCCUGCAGGCAGCACCACCAUUCCAUCUGGUGAGUCGGUAAGAGGAGAUGGAGUGGUGUUUUCCCUCCGACUCUGCAGCACAGGUCUAAACGUUGUUUCCAGCUCGUCUGUGUCAAGGUGUCCCCUGAAUGCGACGUGAGGAAAAUCCUUGGACCCCGUAACCAGGUGAUGGUAAAGGGAGAGGACCAGGUCUUUCAUAGAGUCCAAAUGGCUGGGGCUCAAAGGACGUUUCCUCAGUGAAAGGCUUGUCUUCAGUCACCUCACCAGCAGUCUACUGAUCUCUGCAACGUCUGUUCAACAUGAUCUACAUUGGUGACUUCCGAGUGCAUGGACAAUUUAAA